rnacentral:rRNA from 1 species
AGUGAACGCUGGCGGUAGGCCUAACACAUGCAAGUCGAACGGCAGCACAGUAAGAGCUUGCUCUUACGGGUGGCGAGUGGCGGACGGGUGAGGAAUACAUCGGAAUCUACUUUUUCGUGGGGGAUAACGUAGGGAAACUUACGCUAAUACCGCAUACGACCUACGGGUGAAAGCAGGGGAUCUUCGGACCUUGCGCGAUUGAAUGAGCCGAUGUCGGAUUAGCUAGUUGGCGGGAUAAAGGCCCACCAAGGCGACGAUCCGUAGCUGGUCUGAGAGGAUGAUCAGCCACACUGGAACUGAGACACGGUCCAGACUCCUACGGGAGGCAGCAGUGGGGAAUAUUGGACAAAGGGCGCAAGCCUGAUCCAGCCAUACCGCGUGGGUGAAGAAGGCCUUCGGGUUGUAAAGCCCUUUUGUUGGGAAAGAAAAGCAGCAGGUUAAUACCCCGCUGUUCUGACGGUACCCAAAGAAUAAGCACCGGCUAACUUCGUG